rnacentral:lncRNA from 1 species
AUGUCUCCCGGGGAGGGGCGUGGUCUUUUCUCGGCUCCGCCUCAAGGGCGGGCCUGGGAUACCCCUGGCUCAGGGAGUCCCUUUCUCAGCCCCGGCCCCGCGCUCGCGCCGGGUCCCCGGCCCCGCCCCCGCCCCGGCCCCGCCCCCGCCCACCAACCCCACCCAGUUAGCAAACGCUUCCAGUCUGCAGCUGUCGCCUCUGUCUCAGCAGCAGCCGCCACAGCCCGAGAGGUGUCUGACCUAAUCCACCUCCGGAGCCGGAUCUUUCUGCGUCUGGGUCCUCGGCAAAGACUGCUGGUGAGUGGGAGCCGGGACGCCCCGUGUCUGAGGGAGGAGGGGCUGGGGGCCCGGCCUCCUUGGGUCUGAGGGCAGAGGGGGCUUCCCGCCCAGACUUUUGUGUCAGAGGGAGGAGCAUCUGGGGGCCUGGACUCCUGGGUCCGAGAGAAGGACCUGGGUGCUUGGUUUCCAAGGAAGGAGACACAGACACCUGUGUACCCGAGGGAGAAGUGUGCCCAGGAGCUGGGCUCCUGCGCCCUCGGGGCCUCUCCUAGGUUCAGUUAGGUAAGGUUAAAGCCUGUUCUACUGCCUGACCCUGGAAGGAGGAAGUUUUAUUUCCCUGUGGCUGAGAGAGGCCUUCUGAAAUUGUAGGGUGGAAGCUGAGAGAUUAGAGGUUUUAGGACCUGGGGGAGGAUUUGGACACCUGGUCCCCAGUAGGCUGGACCCUCUCUAUUCCUGAGGGUCUGUAGGACAAGGAGACAGAAGGUUCUGGAGGGACAGAAGAAGGAAGUGGAUUUCCCAAACCACAGGUGUCUGGUGUGCCCAAGGCUGAGGGCCCAGAGUCCUGGGGUCUGAAGCUGUGUAACAGGACGUGAGAGGCCUGGAGGUUUCCGUGGAAGGGGCUGGGUCGCGGAGAGCCAAGCUUCUUGGGCGCCCUGGGGAAUUUGGAGGUUGGACUCCACGUGCGGGAGGGGCCGAGGCGGGCGGAAGCUCGGCGUGCCUGGGUGAAAUACUCCACACCCAAAUCCCAGGUGGGAUUCAGACUGAGGGCCCAGACUCUUGAUCUCCGAGGUGAGAGGGCAUGCGUGCUGUGGAGAGCUCAGGUCCAGUUCCAGAGACAGGUGGGGGGGGGGGGCGGGCAGAGGCUCUGAUCACCUGUGAUCACCUGUGAGUCCCGGAGAACGUUCUCACCCGGGGAGGCUGGAAAUGCCUGCAGGGUGACAGAAGGAAGGUGGGCAGUGGAGCCCUGGGUACCCAGAGGGAGGAGGUGAAGCCCAGUGAAGAGGUCAGAACCUCUUGUGCGGUCGGGGAGGUUUUUGAGUGGCUGGGAGGCUGAGUCCCUGGGGGAAGGAGGGCAGUUUUGAGAGUCUGGGGUGGUUUCACGGUAGCUGGGUUGCAGAGAGAGGGAAGCAGAGACAGCGGCCCAGACUCCUGGGUUCUGCCACAGGACGUGGGAAACCCCAGUCAGGACGGAGGAGGGGGCUGGCACUUGGGUGACCAACUCAGCCCCUUAGGCCUGCCGCGUCUCCCCCCUCCCCCAGCUUGAGUCCUUUGUCCCCAGGGGAGGAAGGGCUGAGGGCCUGGGUUCCCACAUCUGGAACCUUCUUAGGACUCUU